rnacentral:lncRNA from 1 species
AGCGGGAACUCUCUUCUUCUCUUUUCAGAAGGUUUUUUGUUUGUUUCUUUUCUCUUUUGGCUGCACCCACGGCAUGUGGAAGUUCCUGGGCCAGAGAUCAAACCAGCGCCACAGCGGAGACCCGAGGCGCUGCAGUGACAAUGCCUGAUCCUUAACCAGCUGAGCCAUAAGAGAGCUCCCAGAAGUUUUUGUUUUUACAUAGAGAGCAAAACAACCAUAUAUGCUGUCUUGAAGACUAGAUAGCUACUUCUUAGGCUAGCUCUGCAAACUCCUGCAAAACCCCGUCUCUGCUGGACAGCAAUGUGAUAAAGCAAACGUCGGCAGCUGCUCAUGUGUCGUGAGUUCAUAGGUACUCACUGUACAGUCGCGUCAGCUUUCCUGUUGGCGUGGAACUGUUUGUACCAGGACAUUCGGAGGGACAUUAGAAAACGUCUGUUUAGACUCUGCUCUGGGAGAGUUCGAUUAAUUUAAAUAAGUGGUCUCUUUUCUCCUGUUCAUCGUGUUCAUGAUUUAUUUCUAGGAUUUAAACAUUUUAGCUGAGGAUUUGGCACCUUAAUUUUUUUUUCUUCUUCCCUUUCAGUUUUUCUUUAACAUCAGCACUGAUGACCAAGAAGGCCUGUACAGUCUUUAUUUUCAUAAAUGCCCUGGAAGCAAAAUAAGGUCUAAUGACAAGUUUUCAUUCAGCCUUGAUAUCGAGAUCACAGAGAAGAAUCCUGACAGCUACCUCUCAGCGGGAGAGAUUCCUCUCCCUAAAUUAUACAUUUCCAUGGCCUUUUUCUUUUUUCUCUCUGGGACUGUCUGGAUCCACAUCCUUCGCAAACGACGGUAAAUUGUCAUCUCCUUGAGCGCCUCACCCAGGAGUGCUUCGGGGUUUGUGUACUUUGACCUUCUGCUGUCUUUUGAGCCCGGAGGGUCCGGCACCGGCAACCUCCUUCUCUUCAAAGGGCCUCUCCUCCCAGACAAAGGGAGGCUGUCCAGGAGCUUUGCCUGUGGGAGGCCUUUGCAUGCCUCGGUGUUUGUUCACUUCCCAUCGCUUUGUUUAAAGAGCAAAUCCAAGUAUUUCAGUAAUACACAAGCAAAAUGAAGUAUAUAGGCAAAGUGUUUCCACAGCGAAGACACCACCAUCCAGGACUCAGAGUGAAGCCUGGGGUC